CAUAUACUUCCUACGUCCAGAAAUACUUGUUACGAAAAUGAACGUAUCUAGAUGUAUUUUAAUUCUAAAUAUAUCCAUUUUUAUACAUUUAUAUAACAAAUAAUUUCGAACGAAGGGAGUACAUA
rfam:Hordeum vulgare subsp. vulgare, WGS project CAJW01000000 data, contig: morex_contig_5787